ensembl:lncRNA
CUGAACCAGGACUAAACCAGGACUAAACCAGGACUAAACCAGGUCUAAACCAGGACUGAACCAGGUCUAAACCAGGUCUAAACCAGGACUAAACCAGGUCUAAACCAGGUCUAAACCAGGUCUAAACCAGGACUAAACCAGGACUAAACCAGGUCUACACCAGGACUAAACCAGGACUAAACCAGGUCUAAACCAGGACUAAACCAGGUCUAAUCCAGGACUAAACCAGGACUAAACCAGGACUAAACCAGGACUAAACCAGGUCUAAACCAGGACUAAACCAGGACUAAACCACGACUAAACCACGACUAAACAAGGUCUGAACCAGGUCUGAACCAGGUCUA